rnacentral:rRNA from 1 species
CAGUAGCCGCGGGAAUACGUAGGUCCAGAGCGUUGUCCGGAUUUAUUGGGCGUAAAGCGAGCGCAGGCGGUUAGAUAAGUUUGAAGUUAAAGGCUGUGGCUUAACCAUAGUACGCUUUGGAAACUGUUUAACUUGAGUGCAAGAGGGGAGAGUGGAAUUCCAUGUGUAGCGGUGAAAUGCGUAGAUAUAUGGAGGAACACCGGUGGCGAGAGCGGCUCUCUGGCUUGUAACUGACGCUGAGGCUCGAAAGCGUGGGGAGCAAACAGGAUUAGAUACCCCCGUAGUCCCUGUCUCUUAUACA